AAUCAACGCUGGCGGCGUGCCUCAGACAUGCAAGUCGAACGAUUAAAGCUCCCUUCGGGGAGUGCAUAAAGUGGCGCACGGGUGAGUAACACGUAAGUAAUCUACCUCUGAGUGGGGAAUAACGUCCGGAGACGGACGCUAAUACCGCAUAACGCAGCGGCACCGCAAGGUGACAGUUGUUAAAGAUUUAUCGCUUGGAGAGGAGCUUGCGGCAGAUUAGCUAGUUGGUAAGGUAAUGGCUUACCAAGGCUACGAUCUGUAACCGGUCUAAGAGGACGGUCGGUCACACUGACACUGAAUAACGGGUCAGACUCCUACGGGAGGCAGCAGUCGGGAAUUUUGGGCAAUGGGCGAAAGCCUGACCCAGCAACGCCGCGUGAAGGAUGAAGUAUUUCGGUAUGUAAACUUCGAAAGAAUGGGAAGAAUCAAUGACGGUACCAUUUAUAAGGUCCGGCUAACUACGUGCCAGCAGCCGCGGUAAUACGUAGGGACCAAGCGUUGUUCGGAUUUACUGGGAC
rnacentral:rRNA from 1 species